UCAUCCUCUCAGCCGUUUGGCUAAGAUCAAGUGUAGUAUCUGUUCUUAAACCCAUCUUAACAGUGGAUGUAUGUAACUUUAU
ensembl:snRNA U2 U2 spliceosomal RNA